UUUCUUUCAGCUACUCAGAAAAAUCCAAUUACAAUUUUGGUUAGAGAGCAGGUUGGCUGGCUGGCUGUUGGAAGCCCACAGAAGACUCAGUUUCGGCACUCUCCGACCCUUUACGGUGUAGUGAUAUCGGAGCCUACAAAGAUGGCUAUAGAGUGCCCCCUCUUCGGUUCCUGAAUCGGCCACUGUGAAGGGACUGAUGACAUUGAGAGACAGAGAAGACAAGCCACAGCAGCACAGGAUUGAGGGAACAGGAACAGAUUCUCCAUGAAGCAGCACAAGCGGCAGAUGAGAAGGAACUGAAGAGGGAAGCACUCUACAGAUGGCUAUGUAGGCUCUGCUAUCACUACGCUUUAAAGGGCCAGAGAGUGCCUAAACAGAGCUAUAGAUUCUUCCGCAGGCCUCCUGUGCAGAAGACCCAGUUAUGAGGGACUAUGGAUCCCUACAGAGAUGAACAAGCUAUGGGCUGGAAAGAGCAACAGGGAAAAGAAAGAGCUAGCAAAGAGCCAGGAGGGGAGGAGGACAGAAGAAAAUACAGUGACAAUGUCAGAACUACCCGGGAAUAUGAAGCAGAACAUGAAGCAUGGACAAAAA